ACGACUCUCGGCAACGGAUAUCUCGGCUCUUGCAUCGAUGAAGAACGUAGCGAAAUGCGAUACUUGGUGUGAAUUGCAGAAUCCCGUGAACCAUCGAGUCUUUGAACGCAAGUUGCGCCCGAAGUCUUUUAGACCGAGGGCACGCCUGCCUGGGCGUCA
rnacentral:rRNA from 7 species